rnacentral:lncRNA from 1 species
UUUUGUUAGAGUUCGAAUUGGUCACGUCUGAUAUUAAAGCUGUUGAAGUCGGUUGAUGUGCUGUCAGCCUUUCCACCCAGUUCUCGGGGGUAAAUCUUAAUACAAGAUCAACAAACCCUUCCCCUCUCAACUCAACAAUCAAAUCAAAUCCAAUUAUUCGACCUAUCUUAUCUUGAAUUCUUUAUCUGAUCACCCUAAUUUUCAAAUUUAAUCAUCGAUCUUCGGAUUUUAUUUACAAAUUCAAUCAUCCAUCUUCGGAUUUAUAGGUAAACCUUAAAACAAGAUAAACAAACUUUUACUCUUUAACACACAAAUCAAAUCCCAAUUCAUCUCCAUUUUUCCACUUUAUCUUGAUCUGAUCAUCGAUAUUUACAAAUUCAAUCAUCUAUGUCGCCGGAUUUUAGCAACAUUCAAAAAAGUGUUACCAAGGGAUCAAUUCAACGAUGUUUGGCGGCGAGAAAGAAUGGUAUUUCCAAUAAAGUAAAACAAACUACAACUAAGUAAUGGUUGACAAAAAGAUGCUCUAUUCUUCAAAUUGACGAUGACAUACUCUCGGAUGAAAUUCUCGAUAAACUUCCACUCACAUCUCUGUGUACAUGUAAGUGCGUAUCUAGGUUAUGGAGAUCUUUAAUUGUGCAAAACUUUGAUCGAUCACCAAGAUUACCUAUUAUUUGUAGAAUUGGUCUUUGUUCAAUUGACACAAAUACUGGAUUAGUAACCCCUAUUUACACUCCAAUUCAUCAUGGUGAUUAUGUUCUUAUUAAACCUAUUUGCUCCAAAGCAGUUUCAGUAGAAAGGAUAAUUGGAGAAGCCAAAGCUAUUGUGUGGUAUUGGUGUGGCAUCUGGUGGGGAGCCGACAGUUCACCUAUCAAGAGAUGCUGGAGCAUUGGGGAGCUUUACUUGCAGGCAACUACAGCUCUUAGCCUUGCUAUGAUGAGUUGGAAAUGGAGCAGUGAAUGCUUGCUUCUGUUCAAUAUUAU